CUCGCCUGUUUUUCAAAAACAUGGUUUUUUGUUGGAAUAAAAAAUCUAAUCUGCCCAAUGAUUAAGAAUUGAAUGGCCGCGGUAUAUUGACCGUGCGAAGGUAGCAUAAUCAUUUGCUUUUUAAUUGGAGGCUGGAAUGAAUGAUUUGACGGAAAAGGUCUGUCUUAAUUUUAAGUUUUUAAGUUUACUUUUUAGUGAGAAGGCUAAAAUGUUAUCAAGGGACGAGAAGACCCUAUUAAGCUUUAUUUUUAUUAUUUUUUUGUUUUAUGUUUUCAUAUACAAAAAAUAGUGAAAAUUUUACUGGGGCGGUAGAGAAAGAGAAAGAUCUUUUUUUAAAAAUUAAAACAUUUAUGUUAAUUUUUGAUCCAUUAUUAAUGAUAAAAAGAAGAAGUUACUAUAGGGAUAACAGCGUAAUUUUUUCGGAGAGUUCAUAUCGGCGAAGAAGUUUGCGACCUCGAUGUUGAAUUAAAGAGUCAGUAAGGCGAAGAAGUUUAUAGGAGGGUCUUCGACCUUUUCC
rnacentral:rRNA from 1 species